GAUGAACGCUGGCGGCGUGCCUAAUACAUGCAAGUCGAGCGAACAGAUAAGGAGCUUGCUCCUUUGACGUUAGCGGCGGACGGGUGAGUAACACGUGGAUAUCCUACCUAUAAGACUGGGAUAACUUCGGGAAACCGGAGCUAAUACCGGAUAACAUAUUGAACCGCAUGGUUCAAUAGUGAAAGGCGGCUUUGCUGUCACUUAUAGAUGGAUCCGCGCCGUAUUAGCUAGUUGGUAAGGUAACGGCUUACCAAGGCAACGAUACGUAGCCGACCUGAGAGGGUGAUCGGCCACACUGGAACUGAGACACGGUCCAGACUCCUACGGGAGGCAGCAGUAGGGAAUCUUCCGCAAUGGGCGAAAGCCUGACGGAGCAACGCCGCGUGAGUGAUGAAGGUCUUCGGAUCGUAAAACUCUGUUAUCAGGGAAGAACAAAUGUGUAAGUAACUGUGCACAUCUUGACGGUACCUGAUCAGAAAGCCACGGCUAACUACGUG
rnacentral:rRNA from 1 species